AUGGCUGUCGUCAGCUCGUGUUGUGAAAUGUUGGGUUAAGUCUCGCAACGAGCGCAACCCCUAUCUUUAGUUGCCAGCAUUAAGUUGGGCACUCUAGAGAGACUGCCCGGGUUAACCGGGAGGAAGGUGGGGAUGACGUCAAGUCCUCAUGGCCCUUAUGCCUAGGGCUACACACGUAAUACAAUGGCAGAUACAAUGGGACGCGAUCACGCGAGUGUUAGCAAAUCUCAAAAAGUCUGUCUCAGUCCGGAUUGGAGUCUGCAACUCGACUCCAUGAAGUUGGAAUCGCUAGUAAUCGGAGAUCAGCACGCUCCGGUGAAUACGUUCCCGGGCCUUGUACACACCGCCCGUCACACCAUGGGAGUUGUUUUCAUUUUAAGACGUGGCUCUAACCUUCGGGAGGGGAGCGUCUACAGUGGGAGCGAUGACUGGGGUGAAGUCGUAACAAGGUAGCCGUAGGGGAACCUGCGGCUGGAUCACCUCCUUUUUAAAGGUUAUAAAUUAACCAGGUCUUUUUUUAUUUGAACGGUUCUUUUCUUUUCAUCUUGAUAUUUUACUCUUGUUUUAGCUUGCUCUUUUGAGCUUGUUUAGCAGGAGUAUUUUUAUUGAUCUUUGACAACUACAUAACAGGAUUAGAUAGAAGACGAGAAUUAUGCAAAAUAAAUUAAUUUUUUAAGUUAAUGUCCAAAAAAACUAGAAUAAAGCUACUAAGGGCAUGCGAUGGAUGCCUUGGCAGUAAGAGGCGAAGAAGGACGUAGUUAGACUGCGAUAAGCUUCGGGGAGUCGUCAAAUAGACUUUGAUCCGGAGAUUUCCGAAUGGGGAAACCCGA
rnacentral:sRNA from 1 species